rnacentral:misc_RNA from 1 species
UCCGGUUUGACACCGGCAGUCCAGUUAGAGUGCCCGGCCUAACCGCUGGCAACUAACUACAGGGGUUGCGCUCGUUGAUGGACUUAACCAAACAUCUCACGACACGAGCUGACGACGGCCAUGCAUCACCUGUCACUGCGCUCACAAGGCACAGUCUCCUUUCGGAGACCUUCGCAGGAUGUCAAGCCUGGGUAAGGUUCUUCGCUUAUCAUCGAAUUAAACAACACGCUCCACCGCUUGUGCGGGUCCCCGUCAAUUCCUUUAUGUUUUAGUCUUGCGACCGUACUCCACAGGCGGGAUGCUUAACGCGUUAGCUUCGCCACAUCCGGGGUCGAUACCGAAUACGGCUAGCAUCCAAAGUUUACGGCGUGGACUAC